ensembl:lincRNA 6430573P05Rik RIKEN cDNA 6430573P05 gene
GAGAGCGGAGCGCGCAGCCCCGCCAAGCGUCUGCUGAACGGCGACCGCCUCCUCUUCCCCGCCUCUUCCUUCUCCUGCGCCUCGGCGGCCGCCAGAGCCGCUCUUCAGGGAGGAAGCGGCCUCCCGGGCUUGUUGCUUUGUGCUGCAACCAUGUGACUGCAAGGACAACGUUGCUCUCCCGCCUUCCGCGCUCACUGACAUCUAAACCCUUAAAUGACUCCUGCGUUAGGCAGGUAGGAAUGUGGCUUUCCAACUCCAGACCUGGUAUCACAUCGGACAAGAAAACACCAGGUCAGCCCGUUGUAAUCUAGAGGCCAAGACAGCAAGUUCUCUGACAUAAUCGAGAAUGAAUAAUCCUAGGUCGGACUUUGCCUUCCACUGGGCAGAGCACCUUCUCAGGAUCGCGAGUUUCCAAUCCAGACUUGCCCGGUACAAAGCCCAUAUUAGUGUGUUAAGAUGUCCCUGCUCUUGGGAGUUCAUCCCUUCCUGACCAGGCUUGAGGUGUGCAGCGUCAGCCUCAAAGAAGAUUGCAGUGUUUGAAGUCUGUGUGGAGACUAAAGACAAUUGUUAUUCAAACUUAAAAACCUUUAUUUUUCAAG